CGGCGUGUUGUUUUAACCUAAAAGCCUUGAACGCUGUCGUUUCGCCGUCGACAACAAUCACACGCGCACACUUCCACCAUUAUCAUCUAUCCACCACACAGGUUCGUCGGAUGCGAAACGGUGGUGUUCAGGGCUUUUUUAAGGUUGCUGGA
rfam:Arabidopsis lyrata subsp. lyrata unplaced genomic scaffold ARALYscaffold_2, whole genome shotgun sequence.